UACGUAGGGUGCAAGCGUUGUCCGGAAUUAUUGGGCGUAAAGAGCUCGUAGGCGGUUUGUUGCGUCGGCUGUGAAAUCCCGAGGCUCAACCUCGGGUCUGCAGUCGAUACGAGCAAACUAGAGUGUUGCAGGGGAGACUGGAAUUCCUGGUGUAGCGGUGAAAUGCGCAGAUAUCAGGAGGAACACCGGUGGCGAAGGCGGGUCUCUGGGCCGAUACUGACGCUGAGGCGCGAAAGCGUGGGGAGCAAACAGG
rnacentral:rRNA from 1 species